rnacentral:rRNA from 1 species
GACAGAGGGGGCAAGCGUUGCUCGGAAUCACUGGGCGUAAAGGGCGCGUAGGCGGGAUGGCAAGUCGGUCGUGAAAUCCUUCGGCUCAACCGAAGAACGUCGGCCGAUACUGCCGUUCUUGAGGGAUGCAGAGGAGAUUGGAAUUCCCGGUGUAGCGGUGAAAUGUGUUGAUAUCGGAAGGAACACCAGAGGCGAAAGCGGUGCACUGGGGCUGGUCUGACGCUGAGGCACGAAAGCCAGGGGAGCGAACGGG